rnacentral:rRNA from 1 species
UACAGAGGGUGCAAGCGUUAAUCGGAAUGACUGGGCGUAAAGCGCGCGUAGGCGGUUUGUUGCGUGAGAGGUGAAAGACCUGGGCUUAACCUGGGAAAGGCCUUUCAAACGGGCAGACUGGAGUAUAGGAGAGGUGAGUGGAAUUUCCGGUGUAGCGGUGAAAUGCGUAGAGAUCGGAAGGAACAUCAGUGGCGAAGGCGACUCACUGGCCUAUAACUGACGCUGAGGCGCGAAGGCGUGGGGAGCAAACAGG